UACGUAGGGGGCAAGCGUUGUCCGGACUUAUUGGGCGUAAAGAGCGUGUAGGCGGCCUGACAGGUCUGCUGUGAAAACUCGAGGCUCAACCUCGAGAUGUCGGCGGAAACCGUCUGGCUAGAGUCCGGAAGAGGAGAGUGGAAUUCCUGGUGUAGCGGUGAAAUGCGCAGAUAUCAGGAAGAACACCUAUGGCGAAGGCAGCUCUCUGGGACGGUACUGACGCUGAGACGCGAAAGCGUGGGGAGCGAACAGG
rnacentral:rRNA from 1 species